rnacentral:rRNA from 1 species
ACCAUCCUAAGGUAGCGAAAUUCCUUGUCGGGUAAGUUCCGACCUGCACGAAUGGAGUAACGACUUGGGUACUGUCUCCACCACGAGCUCGGUGAAAUUGCAUUACGAGUAAAGAUGCUCGUUACGCGCAGCAGGACGGAAAGACCCCGGGACCUUCACUACAGUUUGGUAUUGGUGAUCGGUGCGGCUUGUGUAGGAUAGGUGGGAGACUGUGAAGCGGCCACGCCAGUGGCCGUGGAGUCGUCGUUGAAAUACCACUCUGGUCGUUCUGGUUGUCUAACCUCGGACCGUGACCCGGUUCAGGGACAGUGCCUGACGGGUAGUUUGACUGGGGCGGUCGCCUCCCAAAGAGUAACGGAGGCGCCCAAAGGUCCCCUCAGCCUGGUCGGCAACCAGGUGUCGAGUGCAAGUGCACAAGGGGGCUUGACUGUGAGACGGACACGUCGAGCAGGGACGAGAGUCGGGACUAGUGAUCUUCUGGUGGCGUGUGGAAGCGCCAGAACUCAACGGAUAAAAGGUACCCCGGGGAUAACAGGCUGAUCUUGCCCGAGCGCUCACAGCGACGGCAUGGUUUGGCACCUCGAUGUCGGCUCGUCGCAUCCUGGGGCUGGAGUCGGUCCCAAGGGUUGGGCUGUUCGCCCAUUAAAGCGGCACGCGAGCUGGGUUAAGAACGUCGUGAGACAGUUCGGUCCCUAUCCGCUGCGCGCGUAGGAAUCUUGAGAAGGGCUGUCCUCAGUACGAGAGGACCGGGACGGACCAACCUCUGGUGUGCCAGUUGUUCCUCCAGGAGCAUGGCUGGUUGGCCACGUUGGGAAGUGAUAACCGCUGAAAGCAUCUAAGCGGGAAGCACGCUUCAAGAUGAGGAUUCCCCAGCCCCGUGCUGGUAAGGCCCCCGGCAGACCACCGGGUUGAUGGGUCGGACGUGGAAGCGCCGCGAGGCGUGGAGCUGACCGAUCCCAAACGGCCGAGAGGCUUGCCCCA